ensembl:lncRNA
GUGGGGCUCUGGCUCUCCUCAGUUUGCGGAGGAAGUAGAGACGCUGCUGUGAUUUAUUCCUCUCGCAGCAACAGUCGUGUCCUGUAUCUGCCGUCAGGGGGCGGUGAUGAGCGGAGGAUUCAUACUGUAUUCAUACACAGAUCGAAGAAGAAGAAGACGAACCGAGGCGCAUAAUCAGCCAAAAUGAUCGGAGAUCUUUUAAUUUUUGGGACUCUGCUCGUGAACGCCGGCGCUGUGCUCAACUUCAAACUAAAGAAGAGAGUAACGCAGUCUCAAGGGUUUGGCGAUGAACCCGGAUCGUCCAGCACUGGUGACAACAUCAGAGAGUUUUUGCUGAGUCUGCGGUACUUUCGCAUAUUCAUUGCUCUUUGGAACAUUUUCAUCAUGUUUUGCAUGAUCUUGUUAUUUGGAUCAUAGAUUGCGGUUACAUCACUGCAGACACAAAAGAGAGAAUUGUUGCAGCAUUGGGUGGAUUUAUCGGAAUGAGUUUUUUUUUUUAGUGUGGGAUGUCUUGAAGUCUUAAGACGUCUGUAUAUUUUGUACAAAAGAUUGAUAUUGCCUUUUCUGUCUGUGAAUCAAAUGGGGACAGAACACAUUUCUUAGUGCCCUAUACAAAUGUCAGUUAUUUCAAUUUUAGUGGAUGUACAAUUCACUAAUUUAAAACCUUGGAGAAGCAGGCUUUGUGACCAUUCAUAUAACAGAAGAAACAUGUAAAGAGCUACUGCUUGGUUAACAUGGAAGAAUGCUUUAAAACCGUGUGCAGUAUAGUAUUUAAUUAUGGUGUUAAAUGCAUAAGAGCACCAUUAUCUUGAUAGGACCUAAAAAUAAUGACCUCUAAGUUCCUGCAUUUUAGACACAACCUACAUUAAUCAUACAAUUUAACAUUUGCAUGACCCCCACACAAAUUUCACACCACUGAAAGCUUAGCUUGAUUUACAUUAUUUGACCUCUAUAAAAAGGUCACACACAAAAAAAGCCCCCCACACACAGUUUUCAUAAAUGCAAAGUCAUUAACUAGUUUUAUUGAAACAGUAAAAGAGGUAACUGCCUGCUGAAAGACCAUUUACACAAGCAUAGAACCAACAAGUUACAAGCAAUAAUUAGUGAAAGCAUUCUGAGAAAUUAAAGUUGAACAAACUUGAAUGCCUCAAAAAGCAUGUUGGAACACUAGUAGGUCAAAAUAAUAGCAACUUUAAUACUCUAAAACUUUAAAAAGGUAUUUCCUCUCCUAUGGCUGGUAAACACUAGUCUGCUUUGAGAAAACCCCUCGUGUAUGUCAUCCACUGCUCCACGUGGGCUUGGCACUGAAGGGCAUUCAGGAACACAGGUCGCUCAAACGCCUAGAAAAAGGAAGAAACCAUUAGAUUUUACUUCACAUUUAAGCUGGAGAAUGGGAAAAAUAAAAUACACUCUUGGAAAAAAUAAAUACCUUCACAUGUGGCCAUUCGUCAAGGGUCUCUCAUUGUGUGGUCCUCUUGAAUUACAGAAUUCUCCUUUUUUUGGAAAGACAUAAAAAAGGACUUCAGAACAAGAAAAGUACCACUAUGUAUGCAAAGCGAUUCUAAUGGUGCUUCAGAGAAAUUGGCUUAAAGUUUAGAGCAAAUGUCAACACUAUCGAUCUGCUGGGGAAAAAAGAUCAGUCAUCACAUGCACCGUGUGAAUGGCAACCAGUUGUGCUAAGAACACACCCAGUCUCACCUGUUUUGGGGAGUUAAAGACUUAUGAAACGAAGUCUGAUGAAUUUAAGGUCAUCCAUUUGGCUCCAGUAUGAUCUGUGGGAUAGGGAGUAGUAAACGUCAAUGACUUUUCAAAACACGAACGUCAAAUUUUGGCACAACUAUAUGGUUGCUCAGAUCAUUUGGCUUAUUUUUUUAAGAAAAAGGUCAACAGUGUCGAUCUGCUGGGGAAAAAAGAUCAGUCAUCAUUGCUAACAAAAGUGUUGAAGCAAAGUCUAGAGGAAAUCUAAACUCACCAAAAUCUGAGGAAGCACUGUAGGAAACCUCCAUGGUCCAACAGCCCACAUACUGUAAAACAAACAGAUAUAGAGUGAAAUUCAUAAUACAGCUGCUAAGAUAGUGUAGCCACUGGAAAAAACCUACUGCUUAAUUACCAUGUGCAACGUUGAAACAAUUGAAUAACAUUAACUUGUGUGCAUCCAUCUUAGUAACAACCAUAUGCUCUAAAUAGGCUAGUAUAAUAGAAUAGUAAACCAGAACCAGUCAAGGUUUCUUUGUCUCUAGAACUUUCCCGGGUGCACAGGAAACGAGCCACGUGGUCAGCGCGGAACUACACGAAAAUCCUUAAUUUUAGUUAUUUUAAUUUUAGUUUUAUUCGUACAACUUUAGCACUGUGUAACACUACAGAACGAGACUUAAAAAACUUUUCUAGUAGAAAGAAAUAAAUAAAAACCACAAAGUGCUUACCCUUCACAAGAAACAC